GAUGAACGCUGGCGGCGUGCCUAAUACAUGCAAGUCGAGCGAACAGAUGAGGAGCUUGCUCCUCUGACGUUAGCGGCGGACGGGUGAGUAACACGUGGAUAACCUACCUAUAAGACUGGGAUAACUUCGGGAAACCGGAGCUAAUACCGGAUAAUAUAUUUUACCGUAUGGUUCAUUAGUGAAAGACGGUUUUGCUGUCACUUAUAGAUGUAUCCGCGCCGCAUUAGCUAGUUGGUAAGGUAACGGCUUACCAAGGCAACGAUGCGUAGCCGACCUGAGAGGGGGAUCGGACAAGUGAGAACGGAAACACGGCACAGACUCCAACGGGAGGCAGCAGUAGGGAAACGAACGCAAGGGGAGAAAGCCUGACGGAGAAACGCCGCGUGAGUGAUAAAGGUAAGCGGAUCGUAAAACUCUGUUAUUAGGGAAGAACAAAUGUGUAAGUAACUAUGCACGUAUUGACGGUACCUAAUCAGAAAGCCACGGCUAACUACGUG
rnacentral:rRNA from 1 species